rnacentral:tRNA from 1 species
GCCUUCGUGGUGUAACGGUAUCACGCUGGGCCUGUAUUUCAGAGGUCCGUGGUUCGAUUCCCGGCGAAGGCG